ACAAAAAUAAUUGCUUAAAGUGAUGUUUCUGUGCAGGAUCAACAUUUUAGCAUUUAACAUUUCAUUAGCAGGUUUGUUGGUGUAGCUGUAACUGUGACUGUUCUGCCUGCAGGGGGCGCUGUGCAGGUGUUCAGUCAGCCGGGUCAGCAGGUCACUCUGCCAUGCUCCUAUCACUAUGAGGACCACACUCGCCUGUCUCAGCUGUCCGUGCAGUGGAGGAGUCCCAACAACGCGCUGCUGUGUCACUUCGUCAAACACAAGUCGUUCACAAACUGCAGCGCCGGAUACUCCAUCAGCUACAGCCCCGCCUCCAUCACGCUCUCCAUCCUGCACGCCAACGUGGACGACUUCGGGACGCACGUCUGCUCCGUGAGCAUACCACACGAGUUCUCCGACUACAAGGUGGAGCUGAGCCGGACCCCAGAGUCGGUGACUUCAGCUCCAAACAGAGGACGGAAACACACAGGUUUCAGCUGGACUCUGCUGCUCCUCGUCUCUUUGACUUUGUUAGCGUUUAGAAAUCAUAUUUAAUGAUGAAUGACGGAGCUGAAAACAAACAAACAAGAAAACAAACACUCUUCUGAAUGUAAGCCUGUGGAUCCAAACAGAAGUUUCCCCCUGAUGUCCAGAGCUCCAAUAAAACCUGACACAGUGUGUGUGUGUGUGUGUGUGUGUGUGUGUAUGUGUGUGUGUGU